UUUCUUUCUUCUAGCUCAUCAGAAACAUCGAUUAUCACCUGGCAAAUCCGAUGGUUAGCAGCUGGAACUAGAGAGCAAAGUGGGAGAUGGGAAUCGACAUCCUCGAUCCAAUUCGGAGAAGGGAACACGCGCGUCCCUGUACUCUCCAUAAAAUGGAGGAAUCUACCAAUUCUGCUUUGACACUGAGUUCUGCAUCCCUGUCUUUUGCGCAGAGUCUGGUUCGGACUUUCCUCUGCAUGUUUGAACUUUCAUUGCGGCAAUUCGUCGAUUAGCUGGUGUGCAGAGAGCUUGCGACCCAUUUUUUUUUACUUCUGACCUUAAUUGUUCCUCCACCAAACCCUUCACCGCAAAGACAUCAUUUUGUUUGGUGUGGUUUUCUUUGGGUUUUGUAUGGCUUGUUUGGAAAUGGUGUGAGGCCGUUUUAUUAUCAUGGUGAAUGGGAAGACAGAAGGCUGGAAAGCUCUUUGGUGAUGGCUGGUUACAUUUAUUUUAAGAGGAGGUGAAUGUGAUUUUAUAGCAGUGUUAUGUGCAUAGUCUUGGCAUUGGAACUCGGUUGUACAUGAAUGACUUUGUGUUCCAAGGCAGCAACCAUAUUGUAUUAAGACCCCGGCCGUUCUUGAACGACCAUAUUAGUCUUAAUGCAGGAGGAUCGAGAUCUCAAAGAAGCUCGGAAGCUCAGCCAUUCAUGAACGACCAUAGUUGUUUCCGGUAGCCAACAAAAGGGUAUAGGUUGUUCAUGAACAGCCCCCUUUUGUUUGAAGCAAGCGUGCUGGACCGACAUGUUUCCCUGUCAAAGAAGAGAAGCAUGGCAUGGAGCCAUGGACGUGAGGUAUACCUGAGCUUCUGUCCUGGAGCUUGACUUGUUGAUGGAUCUCUUUAAAUUUCACUCACUGUUUCGGCAGAAAUAUGGCCUCUGAUUACUGCUUUUCACCUCUCCCCUUCUCUUCAGCGUGGCCACCUUUAUAUAAUAGUGGUUGGAUAGCUGAUGCCUUGUAUUUGAAUUUGGAUAACAACUCAACUUUAUCAUUUGUUAUCUUUUGAAAUGGUCAACAACUUGACCAAGACUUGAAUAAAGGCUUAACAGAACAUUAUCUCUUGAUGUCAUUUGAAUCUUGCAUGUUAAAGAUAAUAGCCUGCUUGCUUGCCGUUUGGACUUGGUCAAAGAUGUAACAACUUAUCU